GGCCUACAAAGACUGCGAUGGUUAGCUGGUCUGAGAGGAUGAUCAGCCACACUGGAACUGACACACGGUCCAGACUCCUACGGGAGGCAGCAGCGAGGAAUUUUGCGCAAUGGGGGAAACCCUGACGCAGCAACGCCGCGUGAGUGAAGAAGGCCCUUGGGUCGUAAAGCUCUGUCAAUGGGGAAGAAGUUAUUUAAUGUUAAUAGCAUUAUUUAUUGACGGUACACAUGAAGGAAGCACCGGCUAACUCCGUGCCAGCAGCCGCGGUAAUACGGGGGGUGCAAGCGUUAUUCGGAAUUAUUGGGCGUAAAGGGCACGCAGGCGGUCCUGUCAGUCAGAUGUGAAAGCCCGGGGCUCAACCCCGGACGUGCAUUUGAAACAGCAGGACUUGAGUACGGGAGAGGAAAGGGGAAUUCCUGGUGUAGAGGUGAAAUUCGUAGAUAUCAGGAGGAACACCGGUGGCGAAGGCGCCUUUCUGGACCGAUACUGACGCUGAGGUGCGAAGGCGUGGGUAGCGAACGGGAUUAGAUACCCCGGUAGUCCACGCAGUAAACGUUGUAUGCUAGGUGUAGCGGGUAUUGACCCCUGCUGCGCCGCAGUUAACACAUUAAGCAUACCGCCUGGGGAGUACGGUCGCAAGACUAAAACUCAAAGAAAUUGACGGGGGCCCGCACAAGCGGUGGAGCAUGUGGUUUAAUUCGACGCAACGCGAAGAGCCUUACCCAGACUUGACAUCUUGAGAAUCCUUUCGAAAGUUAGGAGUGCCUUCGGGAGCUCAAAGACAGGUGCUGCAUGGCUGUCGUCAGCUCGUGUCGUGAGAUGUUUGGUUAAGUCCAGCAACGAGCGCAACCCUUGUCUUCAGUUGCCAGCACAUAAUGGUGGGAACUCUGAAGAGACUGCCCCGGUUAACGGGGAGGAAGGUGGGGAUGACGUCAAGUCCUCAUGGCCCUUAUGUCUGGGGCUACACACGUGCUACAAUGGUAUGUACAACGGGCAGCAAGGCAGCGAUGCCAAGCAAAUCCCUUAAAGCAUAUCCCAGUCCGGAUUGGAGUCUGCAACUCGACUCCAUGAAGUUGGAAUCGCUAGUAAUCGUGGAUCAGCAUGCCACGGUGAAUACGUUCCCGGGCCUUGUACACACCGCCCGUCACUCCAUGAGAGUUGAUUGUACCCGACGUCACUGGGCCAACCCUUCGGGGGGGCAGGUGCCUAAGGUAUGGUUGAUAAUUAGGGUGAAGUCGUAACAAGGUA
rnacentral:rRNA from 1 species